CAGGUAGGGUGUGGUACGCUUAUCUGGAAGAAUGGGCUGUGCUCAGAAUGGGGUUAAUGUUCCUGAGAUUGUCAAACUGCAUUUCAGAGAAAGUCUCCGGGGAUAAAGAAUGAAUUUCUUUACUGCUGCAAGGGACUGUCUGGAUCAGGAAAGCCGUGUCUCCUGCUGGGCAGGGGAGAGGGCUGAAAUACGGCUAUGGAUGAGGAGACAUCGGCAUGUUCUGUUCAGAUCUUGCCCAAGAAGAGAAAUGGAUCACCUUAAAAACCCGAGGGCUUGAGGGACGUUGUCAUUUUUGAAGAUCAAGUGUUAAAGAAAGCAGGAGGCAUUUUGGUCACUGACACCCGGUUGCCCCCAGGCAGCUCUGCUACACGAGCUGAGGACAUCUCUUCCCACCCAACCCUCAGCCAAUGGAUGGGCCUUGCCACCUCCUUCUGGCAGCAGAGGUGGCACUGGGCACAGUGUGUUCUGCUCUCCAUUGGCCCAGGAAUGCAGCACAGAGGGGGAAGAGGCUUGCCAACAUCCAACAUGUUUUCAGCAUCCCCAGAGAAACCUGUGAGCUGUGCUCUGUUGGAUUCAGACGUGAGAUGGCUGCUUGUGAUUAUAAGAUGCGCGUAUGGACAUUUCCAAUUCCCUCCCUGGAGGACUGCAUAGGAGCUUACAACUCAAGUUUCAGGUUGGCUUUAAAGCUUUCAGUCUUUUAAGCUUCUUUUUUGGAAGUCUUGUAUAUGGUUCAGUAAUGAGAUCAACAAAAGCUGGUUUCCCCCAUAUGCUGAAGCGGCGGGGGUAUGUAAUGGGUCGGUCUGUAUUUUAAAGAGGGAAACAUUUUCAAUAUGAGACUGCUGGAAUAUCACUUUCCAAAAGGCUUUUCUUGGAAAUCAGAGGAUUUCCCAAAUUUCCCUUUUCUUAAUCCAGUGUGGUACUUAAAUAACAUGUCCCUCACAGUACACACUGCAAUGGGAAAUAAUUAAUAUAAAAACAGAAGUAUAUUCACACAAAAGUCAUGCUAGGCUUCCUGUAGAAAAGUAUUACUUGAAUGCUCUUUUAUAACAUGUCUCAGUUGCAGCAUAAUGACAUAUACCCUUCUUUGUACAAGCAGUUUGCUCUACUGCGUCAGGAAAUCGUAUUGCUAUUGCAAAUACAAAACAUAUUCUUCUAAUUUCAAUGAAAUCUUUUAACUAGUUCCCCGCAUAUGCUUUAUUUUUUUUCUUAUCUUUACAAUAUAAUGCAAUAGGUUUCACUUCCCAGAUUUCUAAUUAUUACUCUAACGUACACACGCUAAGCUGUGCCAUUAAACAUUUGAACUCCUAAUGCAAAUAGCUACUAAGAAAUUUUCAGUCAUUGAAUUAAGUCAUUACCUUCCUUUGACUGUUUACAAUUUCACCUUUUCAGUGAUUAUCAGAAAGACUUGAUCAUGACUGCUUGCUAUUCUAAAAAAGGAGUGAUCAAACAAGGGAAUUCAGGUUGUAUGUCUGCUGCAUGUGGUGCUGUCCCUUCCCCUUCCCAUUUCGUGUACACGUUACUGUUGUUGGGAAUGAGUCUAAGUGUUUUAAAUACAAAAUAUCUCAACUACUUAAAAAUCUUCAUCUAAAUGUUCUCAAUAUUACCUGGAAAUUUUGUUUUUAACUGCAUUUCGAAGCCAAUAUCCUCCUGUUGUAGCAGUUUUCCAUAUACAGAGCUCCUGUGGCAAUGGUAUGGCUGCUUCAAGAACUGAAAUGUUCGUGUUCACUUGUGCUUUAUUUUGCUAUCCAUCAACAGAUUAACUAUGGUUUACUUUUUUUGUUUGUUUAAACAUGAAUGCCAUGUUGCUAAAAUCAGGGAGAAAAUUAAUUAAAUACGAUUUCUGAAAUGAUACCCAAGUUUCUAUUAAUGCUUUUAUUUUUGCUUAAAAAAAACCACAACAAAACAACUACAGGCAAUGAGGAAACUAGCCUAUGUAAGGUAAGAGCUUCUUCCUCCUCUGUUUCAACUGGUAUUUGAAAGUUGUUUCUGUUACAGCAUAUGUGAAACAACGGUGUUCAGCAGUGCUACUGAGAAGGUACCAAAGAGAUCAGAUGUAACAUUGGCACAUACCAAAGAGAUGAAAUUCUGUCUCCAUGUCUUACGCUAACCAGAGUCAACAUUCUAAAAUAAGUAUUUUGAUUUCAAAGUUAAGAAACCCAGAGCAACAUUUUAGAAGUUAAAUACACAACAGUAGUAAAUACGGAAAAUACAGUUGAUAAGCAGAGCGAUGAGGCAAAAGAAAAUAAGUAUAAUAGUUGAUUUGUUUAAAUGUUAAUUCUUUGUCAUGCUUGGCUUCCCCCCACCCCUUACAUGUAGUGUGUUGUCAGUCUAAGCAGUACAGGUAUGCGACAUAGUGAGAUGGUACUACCUUACAUGGCAUAGGUUGAAUUAAUUAAUCAAAAAGGUAACGACACUGGAAGGCCUGAUAUCUGCAUCAGUAUGUGCUAGCCACAUUGUGUCUGAGGAAAAUGAGGUUAAAAACACAGUUUUGAGAUAUACAGUACUUCUUCACAAAGAGAACUUGUCCAAAAGAAAGACAUCCUCUUUCAGCACAGAUUUCUCGACGAUUUCAAACAGUAACAUGAAAACUGAAAUUACAGUACAACCGCUAACGCUGAGAGAUACUUUGGUAAAUACCACUGGGUGCAGAUAUCAGGCAUUUCACCAUAUUCCAGAUGGUUUACCCUGACAUACGUAGUCAAGAGUUUGCUAUGAACUACUGAGAUUGAAUUUUCUAUACAUUUGAUUUAUCCAUGAGAAUCAGCGCUCCUUGUAGAUCAAACUGAACACCCUACGUAGGACCGAUAGAGCGGAAUUAUUCAAGUUCACUGAAAUAUUACAAAAAGGCUUCCUUUUUAGGAAAACUCAGCUAUGGUAAAAAUAUCUACUACAGUGCACUGCACUGUAAUAAAUAUUCAACAUAAAUUAAUAAUUUACAAGUACCUGAGCAAGUAUACAGAGCACCAUAGCACAGCACAGCACCAAAGGCAGUAGCUCAGAACUCUUAAAAAAUAAUGCUGUUUUAAACAUUAAAAAGUCUAAGUAUUGUCAUAAAAAUGAACUCCAGCUGGAGUUGAAAGAUAGUGCAAACUUCUGUCUUCACUUUUUAAAAUAAAGGUGUCUGAUUUCCUCAUCAUUUCACAUCAGCAGCAGCAUUGCUGGACCUGGGUACCGGCGGUGGAUGCUUAGGAGCAGGUCUGUUGGAAAGAGAACAGCAAACUGUUACUUAAACUUGUGUUAGGUCUCACUGCCAGCACCAUUCCUGAGUCAUGAAGAGCAAUGCCAUGGUGAGAGCUAUCCAAGCUGACUUUAGGCAAUAACAUGGGGCUGCUGUGCUGGGACAGGUACCCUACGUACCACCACACACACGCCAUCAAGACACAGAAGUGGCACAGCAGCCUCCUCCUCUGAGCUCAGGUGUUAAUUGCUGCCUGGCUGAUGGAUAAGCUCCCUGUUUCAGGUGUUGUCCUUCCUUUAUUUCUUUGGGUGCUUGUUAGUUUUUCACCCCUUCAAAAACAGUACUUCACAUCACAGAGUAGCAGUUGGUUUAAAACAAUGGAAGCAGUCAGCUGGAAACACUAUUACUUUCAGAUUACCCUACUAGAAGACACAGCCAGGAGCUUAAUCAAAGCAUGUUCUUAUGGUCUUUUUGCUAGAAGUACUAGGAAACUGACUUGACUAUGUUCUGAGCAAUGUUAAAUGCCUCAGCAGAGGAAUUCCUAUGGCUUAAAACACUACUUUUAUCUUCCCUGCAGGUCACAGGAUCACACAGAGUCACAGAAUCGCAGGGAUUGGAAGGGACCUCUGGAGAUCACCUAGUCCAACCCCAAGUAUUUGUAGGAAUAUGAAGAAUAUUGGAGAUACUGUGCGAGAGAUUUGAAUUUCAGAUUAUCUGGUGGUAAAGGAAGAACAACAUAAACUGAAUACAUACAGUUGUAAAAGAUGACAUAGAGAAAAGUGGAAGAACUAGCAAUGACAUUAAAAUACAGAUUUAGAUGAGCACAGAAGCAAACUGCUCAAGUCCAGUUUGAACUGAGAACAUCUGUGAAUUUUUUUUUUUUGUUUAGAGAUGCUGCUGUGCUUUCAUUCUGUGGAAUGACAUGAUUCAUUAAUAGGGAACAGAAGUCAUCUGCUGUCAGACAUGAGCUCAUGUCUCUUGUGUGGUCCCUGACGCCCUGCAAACAGGGCAGGGUGUCUAUUUGUGGUUCACCAUUAUGAAGAACUGGGACAGAUUAACUGACUUGCUCAGGUCACACACAGACUCUCCAGUGUACCCUAAAUCUCCAUCUGCUAUGGAUCUCACCACGCUUUCUCUAAAAACGUUGCACAGAGUAAUUUUACACUUCACUGCUAGUUAGUUUGCUGUAACUGGUAAGGUUGACCAAAAAGAAGCAUAAUUUAAAGAUCCCCUGAAAAAUGUAAUCAGAACAGACCCCUGGAGGCAUGAAUUACUCAUGAACAGAACAACAGUUUUCACCAUUGGUUCUGAGCAUCCCUUUGUUUUCAUACUUUUUGUGACAAAUGUUUUACUCUCUCAGACAGCAAACGCAGGGUGACUAUCAGUAGGCAUUUUAAGAAUGGAUUAAAACAAAAAAUGGUAGGGAAUGAAAGACUUUCCGAGCAGCCAAGGACUAAUGGGGCCAUAUAAUAGAACCAUUAAUGUUGGAAAACACCACUAAGACCAUCUCGUCCAACCAUCGGCCCACCAUUACCAUACCCUCUAAACCAGGCCCCUCAGUGCCACAUUGGUUGCUUUUUUUUUUUCAACCUUUUUGUUUGGAGAAGAAGCUGGCUGGAUUGGCUAACCCAUGUGUGACAAAUUUGGACAGCUCUUUGUCUGGACUUGGCCAUGGAGUGAGCACCUUCCGUUGCUGAGCAUGAAGGUAACCUUCAGUGCCUUACCCAAGUGCAUUCUUUUGGUCACAUCGAUGUUUAUUCUGAAGAUGCUGACACAUCAUUCAUACUACAAAGGUAAUUUUGAUGGGUACCAGCUGAACACCUGAUUUCAUUUCCUGACUGGCUGGGAGAUUAAUACUGACUGUGAAUCUGGCCCCUCAGUAAAGUAUGUUUGUGUUGUGAAAGCACCUGAAAAAAGCUGUUUAUUAGUUUAGUUAAAUAUUAAAUAUUGUUUAAAUAUUAAACUUGGCAACAGUUCAUUUGCUGGUUCUUUUGUUUGUUUUAUUAUUAUUUUGUUAAAACUAUUUUAAUUAAAUCUUAAAGGGAAUAUACUAUAAAGUAAUAAUUCAUUCACUGCUGUCUCAGUAGCCACUAGAGGGGAAAACACUUGUCUUACAGCUCACCUUGUACGUUGUGCCUUAUCUACCCACUGCUCUCAGCCAGAGGCAGCAGGAAAGGAGUUCGUGUGCAAACACAUCUCACAUGAGAGAAGCUGACCAAGGCAGACAGAAACAGUGAAUGGUUUGGGGUACUCUUCUUCAGCAGUGUACUGCAACACUGAGCACCUGGAUGAUAUAAAUGAAGUAGCAGUGAUUUUUGAAGUGCUUUCCCUUGACCUGUUGGAUGCUGUUCCAAGGAAUUGGUGCAGAUGGAAUACUUCAAGUAGCAUCCAUGUAUAUUAGACCCGAAUUAUUCUAAAGCUAAUUUACUUCCUCUAAACUUUGAGUGGGUAAAAAGCUAAUUUGGGAAGAAAAUAUUUUCUUCCCAUACAGUCAUUUCUGCAUCCCUAGAGUAUAAAAUGGAGUUAUUUCUGACAAUCUUGAAUUGAAAUUAUAAUUUUGAAAGAAUGCACUCUUGCUCACUCUCUAAGUUGCCUUGAGUUGAUCCCAUGGCUAUUCUGUUUCAUACAGCAAUCGAAAAUUGAAAACAUGGAUAUUUUGCUUGAUAGAGUAACAGUUGCAAUUAAUUUCAGCUGCUAAGCUGAAAAGCUUUUUCGCAGUUUCAGUCCUGUCAGUUUGAUACUGACGGUGCUAGAGAGCUGGUAUUCUGCUUUGUGGGAUUUGAAGGAGUGGGUACUUAGAGAGAGAAACUGAAGAGGUGCAUUUGGUCCCUUGGAUUUGCUGUGGCCGGGUGGGGCAGAUAUACUAUCAGAUUGAGAAACUGUCCCAUUUUCUUGGACAGCCCUUUCUCUGUCUGUCCUCUGCUAGUGAGGGGUGGCUAGUACAGUGCUAGGUGAGCUUUUUUUUUUAGUGAACCAUUUGAUUAUGGAAUAGAAAAGUCCUUGUACUUAAAAUACUAAUUUUGACCAAUGUGAAAUACGCAGAAUAUUCUAAGAAAUACAAGGAAACAAACAGCGAAACCAUCAGAGCUAAAGACAAAAGCAGUGCCAACUGGUACCAGUCCAGAUCUCCCAUAAAACCCAUAAUUGAAUCAGUAUUUCUAAUUCCCUUGAAAGGGAAAAUAAAUGACUGCCAUCUUCCGAAGCACUGCAAUUCAAUAGCUGUUUCUCAGAGCCACAUCCACCUACUAACCCCUGAGAAAGUGCCUCAGGACCAGCUCAUGAGGAUGCUGUAUGAAAAAGGCACUGUCCUUGGCCAUCCUAGCCAGCUUUCUAGUAGGCACAGUCCCUCAAGACACAGCUGAUUGAGUAAACAUUUGAAGUAAAUGCACACAGACCAAUGUGCUGCUCAUUUAAGAUACAUAGCUUGGUGCUAAUGACAUGCACUUCUCUUUAAUCUUGUAGUUUAUCCAGAACAGCAUAAUGUCUACAAAACAGAACUAGCUGGAUGCCUGAGUCCUUUUCUAAUGCUCAGCCACACUACAAAUGGGACCGAGAGAGAAGUUAGUGACAAGAAAAGGGCAAUGUAACGCAGACAAUUCCAUCUCCCCUGAAUACUGCCUUGAGAUGCAUCUUAUUAGAAAAAGUGCUACCAGCUCUACUCAAACAUUGGUCUACAUGAAAUAAGUGUGGACAAUCAGAAGUCUUUCUUUUGAGAUCUGUGCUCUGUAAUAACCCAACAAAUCACACACCCUUUAAAAGAACUGAACUACAAGCGAAUAUAUGUUUUGUUCCUGGGCAAGAUAUUUGCAAUUUGACUUCUUCAACUAUAUAUUUACAUUUGUCACCUUCGUAACAGCCCCUGUGUCUUCCCCUCUGGUUGGGCAGGAGGAAGGACAAGUGUGAGUCUGGCCAUGACAUGGAACUUGUUUGUACUGCUGUGUCUUCUGCGUGCUUGAACUUUGGGAUUGCUCCCUCCGUUGGCAGAAACCAGUAUAACCUUCCUGAGUAUAAUGGGAUCUUAAGGAGUUGCUAUUAUCUACACAGCGCUAAGAGUACAAAGAAAAGACUAUGGCAAAAGGCCAAUGGCAAAGAUGAGAAAAACCACUUCAUUCAUAUUCAACACAUGCAGAUAUUCACACACUCAACACGGGA